rnacentral:rRNA from 1 species
GACGAACGCUGGCGGCGUGCUUAACACAUGCAAGUCGAACGCUGAAGCACCAGCUUGCUGGUGUGGAUGAGUGGCGAACGGGUGAGUAAUACGUGAGUAACCUGCCCUUGACUCUGGGAUAAGCCCGGGAAACUGGGUCUAAUACUGGAUGCUACAUGUCACCGCAUGGUGGUGUGUGGAAAGGGUUUACUGGUCUUGGAUGGGCUCACGGCCUAUCAGCUUGUUGGUGAGGUAAUGGCUCACCAAGGGGACGACGGGUAGCCGGCCUGAGAGGGUGACCGGCCACACUGGGACUGGGACACGGCCCAGACUCCUACGGGAGGCAGCAGUGGGGAAUAUUGCACAAUGGGCGAAAGCCUGAUGCAGCGACGCCGCGUGAGGGAUGACGGACUUCGGGUUGUAAACCUCUUUCAGCAGGGAAGAAGCCACAAGUGACGGUACCUGCAGAAGAAGCGCCGGCUAACUACGUG